GGAGUCUAGCAUGUGCGCGAGUCAUUGGGACAUUACUAAACCUAAAGGCGUAAUGAAAGUGAAAGUCCGCCUCGCGCGGACACAGGGAGGAUGGGCGGUAGUUACGGCUGCCGCCUCGCACUCCCGGGGCGUCUCGUUCUCAUCGCGAGAAGAGGCGCACCUAGAGCGUACACGCUGGGACCCGAAAGAUGGUGAACUAUGCCUGGUCAGGACGAAGUCAGGGGAAACCCUGAUGGAGGUCCGUAGCGAUUCUGACGUGCAAAUCGAUCGUCGGAACUGGGUAUAGGGGCGAAAGACUAAUCGAACCAUCUAGUAGCUGGUUCCCUCCGAAGUUUCCCUCAGGAUAGCUGGCGCUCGUCGCGCACGAGUUUCAUCCGGUAAAGCGAAUGAUUAGAGGCAUUGGGGUCGAAACGGCCUCAACCUAUUCUCAAACUUUAAAUGGGUGAGAUCUCCGGCUUGCUCGAAUACAUCAUAGAUAAUAUGAUGAUGAAGCCGCGAGACUCGAAUCAGAGUGCCAAGUGGGCCAUUUUUGGUAAGCAGAACUGGCGCUGUGGGAUGAACCAAACGCCGAGUUAAAGCGCCUAAAUCGACGCUUAUGGGAUACCAUGAAAGGCGUUGGUAACUUAAGACAUCAGGACGGUGGCCAUGGAAGUC
rnacentral:rRNA from 1 species